GUGGGGAAUAUUGGACAAUGGGCGAAAGCCUGAUCCAGCCAUGCCGCGUGUGUGAAGAAGGUCUUCGGAUUGUAAAGCACUUUAAGUUGGGAGGAAGGGCAGUAAGUUAAUACCUUGCUGUUUUGACGUUACCAACAGAAUAAGCACCGGCUAACUUCGUGCCAGCAGCCGCGGUAAUACGAAGGGUGCAAGCGUUAAUCGGAAUUACUGGGCGUAAAGCGCGCGUAGGUGGUUCAGCAAGUUGGAGGUGAAAUCCCCGGGCUCAACCUGGGAACUGCCUCCAAAACUGCAUGACUAGAGUACGGUAGAGGGUAGUGGAAUUUCCGGUGUAGCGGUGAAAUGCGUAGAUAUAGGAAGGAACACCAGUGGCGAAGGCGACUACCUGGACUGAUACUGACACUGAGGUGCGAAAGCGUGGGGAGCAAACAGGAUUAGAAACCCGAGUAGUCC
rnacentral:rRNA from 1 species